CUCGCCUAUCCCCAAUUCAGGCCGCAUAGUCGCCCGCCGCGGGAUGGCCCCGUCGAUGCUGCUCCGCCCCAACCAUCGUCGAUGGCCCCGUCGAUGCUGCUUAGCCACGCCCUCUUCAUCCUCCUCCCCCAUCGUCCUCCAAUGCCCCCAGCUCCCCUCGAUGCAUCGCAGACCACCUGCUCCUCCCGAUGCACUGGCCGCGUGCGGCCACAUCUCGCCCGGCUGUCCACUCGCACGUCUCCUACCUCAGGGUCCGGCAAGUGGCGCCGGCAGCCACGGCGGACUGCCAUGGGUGCGGCCAAUCUGAGCUCCUGUUGGUAGGUUAGUCCAAAAAGAAAAAAGAAUCCACACACUACACGACCCCGUCCUCCAAUACGCCACCUUCUCCCAGCCAUCUAGCACCGCCACCCGCUUCAGCUCCUGCUCAUCGAUCGCCGCCGUGCGGAGCCACCUUCCCAGUGCGCCGCUCCGCCUGCCUACACCUAUAGGCUUUCAACCACCGCCACGCGCCACUUCGCCUCCCCUUGCCCAUCGUCUCCUACACAAUCGCCUCGAAUGGCAGGAGCGGCCUCUCAUCUCUCUCUCCCUCUCUCUCGCUCUGUAAUGAUGGUCACGGCUGAUGCUACUUCUCCUCUCCAUCAGGAUCUCUAUGUCUCUUCCUGUCUCUCUGUGUCUCUCUCAUGGAUUGGAAACUGCAUUCUUCCAAAUAAAUGUGUGCCUCUGUUCUUGAUAUGCCACCCACCACAUGUUUGAUGUUAUGCUUAUGAGGAAUUGAUCUUUAUUUUUUCAGGUUUUUCUUUGGUGUAUUAGGCAGCCUGGUGUAAUUUGUUUCAAAAGUGAACAUGGUGUACAGUCCAAUGUAUCUAGGAAAAUUAAGUUAUGAAGAGUUGUUCAUGAUGUUGCUUGCAUAUUUUUUGUCUAACAAACUAGAUACUUAAAUGGAUAUAAACAUUGAGUAGGUGCUGAAAUAUUUCACUAAUAAUAGUUUCCAACUUGCUUUUUAGCAGAACUACAAAACUAUUUGCAACUUUUAAUUAUGUGUACUUAAAAUGGAUUUGUUGUCCAGGGCAUGUGGAUUUGAGAUCAAGUUGAAUUAUGUGCUGAUGUUAUUAUGUUUUUUGUGUGGAGAAAUUUAGGGGAUUUAGUCCAGACCCUCCACUGGCUCAAGACCCAGUGGCUCUCUGCUCCUCAACGCCCCACAUGGAGCGCCCAAUCCAGGAAAACAGACCCGUCGCACUGCCGCUCCCCAUCUCCCUGCGUCGUCCGGAGAUGGUCCGGCUGGGCGCCACCCCGGCGACCGAGUGUGUGCUGUCCAUGGAAGCCAGCUCCUCCACCCAUACCCUUCUCUACAAGGACGGCGAGGACACUGCUUCAUCAGAACUGAUCCAAACGACCACGCGCAAUCCAAGUGGGAGAAAACCAGAUGAUCGAGAAAGAAGAAUUGCUACACCGGAACCUGGGCCAUGCAUGCGGUGAUUGAUAUUUUAGUUGCACGGUUGUUUCCAUGCUGUUCAUCUGAGGAAGGGGAGAACAUAUCCAGUGCACCGGCUCCACUGAUGCAACGGAUGCACCGAGAGAAUCUGGACCACGGGAUAGAGAGCACACGGGCUGGAUGUUAGCAGUAGGUGCCAGCUGGUACAUUUUGCAUAAUGAACCUUGUAAAGUUAUUCAACUGCGCAUGUAGUCCCUCCAAGAUUCUUCCAUAGUCUCCUUCCGUUUGCUCUGUUCCACUCUGUACCUCUGAGGCUAUCUGCAAGCUACGGUUAGGGACCGAUCGACUCAUUUUUUAGGUGAAUAGAAAGAGUGUUCAUAAGUUAUGUAAAUGCACAGCUGCCUUUUCUCUUUUUUUUGCAAAGGAUGCUUUAGCUUAUUGUUA